rnacentral:lncRNA from 1 species
CUUACGUAGCGGGUAGAAAAUACCAUUUAUCGCUUUUAAAGACGGUCGACCAUUCACUACAUUUAAAGGCGGUUAAUUAUUUACCGCUUUUAAAGGCAGUUAUAUAGUUCACUCCAUUUAGUUCUUUUCCUAACCACAAUAGCAAUAACUUUCCAAAUUUUCCUCUAUUUAUAUAAUAGCAACUCUUUCAAACAUUUAAUCACAAUAAUAAGUACAUAAAUUGAACCAUACCAACCUCAACCAUACUUUAAGUACAUAGAGUGAACUAUAUCAAUCUCAACCACACGUUAACAUAAAUAAAUUAAUAUAAUAAUAUUAAAAUUACAUAUACAAAAGAUUAGAAAUAUCAAACAUACAUGAAAAUUCAAAAAAUUCUAACAAAAUCAAGUCCUCUCCAUGUCCCUUCCACGCCUAAGCCCUCGCCCUCGUCCCUUACCACAUCCAUGUCUGCGUUGUCGAUGUCGUACUCGAAUAUGCACAUCAUCCUCCAUCUCAAGGUCUACAGGCUCAAUGCCAUGCAUCUGAUCAAUAUGCUCGAUGGCGAUGCCCCUGCGGCAACGGCGGUCUGAGAGGUAGAGAGAGAUUAAGAAAUAGAGAGAAUGAAAGAGAAAAAGAGAUUGAGAAUGAGAGAGAGGGACACUUGUGGCGGCGGUGGUCAGAGAGGUAGAGAGAGAAUGUGUGUGGUGGUGUGCAAAGGAAGUGAGAAAGAUAGAGAGCGGAAAAGAAGAUGGAGAGAGCGAGGGGGAAAGGGAUCGGGCAGGCUUAGGGUUAGAUUGAUGGAAUGCGGUAAACCAUUCACCACUUAUAAAAGCGGUGAAUGGUUCACCACUUUUAUAAGCGGUUAAUGGUUUAUCGCUUAUAAAAAUAGUAAACCAUUUACCACUUUGUUGAUUUUUAAUUAUUUUUAUGAUUGGUGAAAUCUUUCAAAAGCGGUGAAUGAUUCACCGCAUAUAUAAAUGCGGCGAGCCAUUUACCGCCUUCUAUAUUUUAAUCCAACCAACGUUGAUCGGCAUAU